rnacentral:rRNA from 1 species
CGCGGUAAUACGUAGGUGGCAAGCGUUAUCCGGAAUUAUUGGGCGUAAAGCGCGCGCAGGCGGGAAUAUUAGUCUAUCUUCAAAGUGCGGAGCUCAACUCCGUGAUGGGGUAGAAACUGUAUUUCUUGAGUGCAGGAGAGGAAAGUGGAAUUCCCAGUGUAGCGGUGAAAUGCGUAGAGAUUGGGAGGAACACCAGUGGCGAAGGCGACUUUCUGGACUGUGUCUGACGCUGAGGCGCGAAAGCCAGGGGAGUGAACGGGAUUAGAUACCCCGGUAAUCCUGGCUGUAAACGAUGGGUACUAGGUGUUGGGGGUAUCGACCCCUCCAGUGCCGGAGUUAACGCAAUAAGUACCCCGCCUGGGGAGUACGAUCGCAAGGUUGAAACUCAAAGGAAUUGACGGGGGCCCGCACAAGCGGUGGAGUAUGUGGUUUAAUUCGACGCAACGCGAAGAACCUUACCAGGGCUUGACAUCCUACGAAUCUUGAGGAAACUUGAGAGUGCCCUUCGGGGAGCGUAGAGACAGGUGGUGCAUGGUUGUCGUCAGCUCGUGUCGUGAGAUGUUGGGUUAAGUCCCGCAACGAGCGCAACCCCUGUAUUUAGUUGCUAACGAGUAAGGUCGAGCACUCUAGAUAGACUGCCGGUGAUAAACCGGAGGAAGGUGGGGAUGACGUCAAAUCAUCAUGCCCCUUAUGUCCUGGGCUACACACGUGCUACAAUGGCCGGUACAGACGGAAGCGAAGCCGCGAGGUGGAGCAAAUCUGAGAAGGCCGGUCUCAGUUCGGAUUGCAGGCUGCAACUCGCCUGCAUGAAGUCGGAAUCGCUAGUAAUCGCAGGUCAGCAUACUGCGGUGAAUACGUUCCCGGGCCUUGUACACACCGCCCGUCACACCACGAAAGUCUGCAACACCCGAAGC